GUCAUCUUCAAGGGAAGCCAUGCUGAAGGGACUGCAGAACCUUCAAGCCUAAGCAGUGGCCCAAACUGCUAAUUUCUAAAGGUGGCUCCCAAAGUGAGGACCCCACGGCUGCAGCAUCACCUGGGAACUGGUUAGAAGUGAAGAUGCUUGGUCCCAAGUCCCAUGGGGUAAGUGACUGAGGAUGGGGCCCCCCGUCAGUGUGGAAACAAGCCCUCCAGAUGAGGAGCAAAUUCGCAGAUGAGCUCCUCACCCAGUGGCAGUGGUAAUAACUUCUGCGCCAUUUUGCUUUCAGUUAAGGGGGGGAGGGGGGAGAACAGGCUUGGCAGAGCCUGUCGGAAGCUCCAAAGUUCACAAAUACAAUUUCUCUACUUGACAGGUGUUCAGCAGGUUUCAAUCUGAGCUGUGUUUUCAGUCUCAGUAUGAGUUUCGUCCUUUCCAACAAUACCCACUGCCAAUUUCUUUGUAACACUGCCACGAAUAACAAAAGAAGGCUCUAGAAGAAACCUGGUGCUUUAGAUUGAAUCUGGAAUGUCUCCCUCAGGCCCAUGUGUUGAAGGCUUGGUUCUCAGCCCAGGGCACUCCUGGAAGGUGGUGAAACUGAAGCAGAAUGGCAUUAGAGGCCCCUCUGAGAUUGACAGCAUCAUCCCCAGGCUGAGGAGCUGCACCUCACCUGCUGGCCUGGGGGACACCAAGAAGGCUGAGAAUGGAGAUGGCCAGCUGCCCGGCCUGUCCAGCCCAGCUAACUAGGCUGAGUAUGCGUAUUUCCUGCUCUGUGUCCCAUCUUGCCUCCUUUUCUCUUUUAAAACCUUUCCUCAAGCUCAGAGCCUUCAAAGAUGGAACUUCUCAAACAAAAAGUUUAUUCUAUCUUCCAUCAGAUCUGACUUGGAACAAAACCCAUUUUCAUACCAAUGUGACUCUCUGGAGCAGCAAGCUGUGGAACGUAGCCUCUUCCCCCAGGAGCUGAGACUGCCACUCCGGAAAAACCUGUAAGAGGUGUGGCCUAGUGGGAGGUCUCCAGAACACUGGGGGCCACUUUUGAAGGGGACUGUGGGAUUCCCACAGCCUCUACCACUGAGCCACAUCUCCAGGCCUCAUCGUUCCUUAAAAGAAAAUUUCUAUGCUGAUAAUGCCAGUUGCAAACAACAGGUUUUGCAUUGAGAAGUAGAGGCAGACACCCUGUUCAGGCAGCCUGCAUUUAACACUGGAGACAGGAUGUUCCCUCCAGCCCGAAUCUUGGUUCUGGCCAAGCCAUGCCACUGUUCUGCUCAUGACCAAGGAGACUGGAUAAAAUGAGUCAGAGCAAAUCUGUCACAACUACCCAAAAAACAGCCUCCUUCCCUCCCUGCAUCCUUCCUCCUUCCUCAAAGGCUGCCUGAGCACCACGGGUGAUGAGACUCUGUUGGCCGACAGCAAGGAUCUGCCGCAUACGCCCCAGCAGCAUCAACCACCCACGCCAUUGACACCUUCAUUGCCACCAUGAUGCACUGUUCCCCAACCUGAAAACUUUAAAGGGAAGCCGAAGCCAUAAACACGGGUGUCCUCGAGAAAUCAAUAUUAACUAAAUUUACAAAUACAGUAACGACUAAGCUAUAAAGAGAUUAACAACAUUUAUUUGAAAAUUAUAAUUUUCUUAAAAAGAUGGGGCACCUGCAAGGGUUACACACCCCCUUAUCCACUCUAUCCAUUUCCUAUAACAUUCAGUUUUUAAAACUUACAUUGCAGUCUCUUAGGAGGGCAUCUCAGUUUUCAAAUGCUUACGUGGGGAAUUGGCUCAUGCCCAUUACCUGGCUAAAGAUAUUUAUGGGCAGCUACGAAAAUAAACUGGAAGAUUUCACCUCACAUGUAAAUAAAAUUUCAUCUGUCCCAUUUCUUUUUUACAACAAUGGAAAUAUAGAAAGAGAAAACCAGGACAAAGCAGAUUUAAGUGAAAAAUAAUGUUUUUGCAGUGCUGAAGAUGGAGGCAAGCCCUCUAUCACUGAGUUGCCUCCCCAGCCCUAUUGUGUUUCUUGGGCAAUUAAUUGAUCACAUAUUUUGUGCAAAUGAUACAAAUUCAAAUCAGGUGCACUGGAAUCUGUAUUAGUGCCUACAGUUGCUGUGAUUAAGUACCACAAACUAUGCAUAUUAAAACAACAAAAAUCUAUUGUGUCAUAAAUCUAAUGACUGAAAGUCCUAAGCAAGACGUAGACAGGGCCAUGUGCCCUCUGAAACCUGAAGGUGGAUCCUUCCUUGAAUCUCCGGCUUCAGUGUUAGCCUCAGUCCUCAGCGUUCCCGUCCCAUAGGUGUAUCACGCCACUCUAUUCUCUGCCCCUGGCUGUCUUCUCGCUUUGUACGUCUCAGUGUCUCUUCUUCAUUUCUUAUAGGGACACUAGCUAUUGAUUAGGACCCACCCUACUCCAGCACGACUUCAUCUUAACUAAUGACAUCUGCAAGGCCUCUGUUUUCAGGAAGGUGACAUCUGACUUACUGGGGGUUAGGACUUAAACAUAUCUUUCUGGGGGACACAGUCAACUCUAGCCCUCCAAAAUCAUGUCCUCCCAAUGUGCAAAGUACAUGCAUCCCAUCCCCACACCCUCAAAACUCUUAACUAUCCUCCCAUCGAAUACAAGUCCAAAAUGCCAUCUAAAUAUCAUCACCUCAAAGUCCCAAAUUUCAUCAUCCAAAGCAGUUAUGGAUAAGGCUUGGAGCAUGAUUCAUUCUGGGCCAAAAUUUCUCUCCAAAUAUGGACUUCUGGAAUCAGAAACAGUUAUGUGCUUACCAAAUACAAUAUCUAGGCAUAGGAUAGAUAUUUUCCUUCCAAAGAGGA
rnacentral:lncRNA from 1 species